rnacentral:SRP_RNA from 1 species
GCUGGGCGUGGUGGCGCGUGCCUGUAAUCCCAGCUAUUUGGGAGGCUGAGGCAGGAGAAUCACUUGAACCCGGGAGGCGGAGGUUGCAGUGAGCCGAGAUCGCGCCACUGUACUCCAGCCUGGGUGACAGAGCGAGACUCUGUCUCAA